AAUACCUAUAACCAAAUACCUAAGAAUAAAUAUAAUGAAACAUGGAUGUAUCCAACUUAUGUAUUUAAAAAAUACGGAUAUUGCUUAGAAAAAUUAAUGAGUGCUUAAAAGAGAAAACUAUACCAUGUUCUUGAUUUUAUCUAUAUAUUGUAUCUAUAAAUUAAAUGAAUCCUAGCCAAAAUCCCAGCAAGUCUCUGUAGAAAUUAGGAAGUAGAUUCUAAAGUUUACAUUAGAAUAUGAAGGAGAAUAACCAAGGUAAUCUUAAAGGACAAUAAGUCUAGAGGACUUGCUUUCAGUACUUGAAUCAAGUAUUAAUUAACACCUACUAACUGCAGCAAUUCAGACAAUGUGGUAUUGGCAUAAGUGUAGAUAAGUAGACAAAUGGAACAGAAUAGAUUCUAGAAAUAGACAAGUGAGUGGACACGUGAAUGGACACAUGAUGUGCUACCAUUAUAUAUUGAAAUUUUAUAAUGUUUGCUUUUAGAAACUUCACUUUGUAUAUUGUAAAGUUAAUUUUUUCUUUUAAAUAAUUAUUUGGAAUGGC
rnacentral:lncRNA from 1 species